rnacentral:rRNA from 1 species
UGACCUCAAAUCAGGUAGGACUACCCGCUGAACUUAAGCAACAA